CAAAAAAAUUUUGUUUGAAGGCCCGAUUAACUCAUAGAUCAAUUGUGCUGUUUAUCAGCUUAUUUCUCUUUUUGAGAUUGGAGUUAAAUGGCAGCGCAAUAUUU